rnacentral:rRNA from 1 species
UACGGGGGGGGCAAGCGUUGUUCGGAAUUACUGGGCGUAAAGGGCUCGUAGGUGGCCAACUAAGUCAGACGUGAAAUCCCUCGGCUUAACCGGGGAACUGCGUCUGAUACUGGAUGGCUUGAGUUUGGGAGAGGGACGCGGAAUUCCAGGUGUAGCGGUGGAAUGCGUAGAGAUCCGGAAGAACACCGGUGGCGAAGGCGGUCGACUGGGCCAGUACUGACGCUGAGGCGCGACAGCGUGGGGAGCAAACAGG